rnacentral:tRNA from 1 species
GGAGAGAUGUCCGAGUUGGUUUAAGGUGCUUGUCUCGAAAACAAGUGUACACAAAAUGUACCGGGGGUUCGAAUCCCUUUCUCUCCA